GAGCCAAACUCUGUGGGACAAUGGCUGUCCAAGACCGGAGUUGCCCAUCCCUGUUGUAGUGUUUUACUACAUAUAUCUUGCUGCUUGAAGAACAAGUUACCCUCAAAGACAGAGAUGAGAUGGCCAGUGGUGGUGGAUUUCCCCGAAUCAACAUGGCCAAUGACCACAAUGUUGAUGUGG